CCACAUCAUCAUGGUAUGACAAAAGAGAUGCUUGGAAACUGGCUCUGACUAGGAGAAAAGAGGUGCGUAAGAAAAGGAAACCAACAGCACUGGGUAUAUGUGGGUUUGUUCAAUUUUAAUUAAUGUUAGUCAUGGCAGGACUCUUUCUUUUUUUUCUUCUUUUUUUUGCAUCACUAGCUUUUAAGCCUCAGAGAGUAUGCCACCUUACUUUCACAUUGUGUGUAUGUGGCAUUACUUGUUUAGUCAGUUUGUGUGCAAGUGAGUUUGAUGGAGCUGCAGCAGAGGUUUCCUGUGUCUGCGAAUGAAUAUGAAGAUGGUGAAGAGACGCAGAAUAGAGAUGCUGUUAAAACAGAGGAUCUUUAUCAAUCUCUUCAGUGUCCACCUACUACAGCCCACAGAACUAUUAGCUAUACAACACUGGCCUCAGGAGAGCGUAAUUGGAGGAAGUAUGGAUUUUUGCUUUUUGCUGUGAACAUUCUGAUCUCAACCAUAAUCCUUGUCAUUGUGGGGCUGAACUACUCUAACAACAAAGGAACACAACUUAUACAAAUAGCUGAUGGACAGAGAGCAGGAGAAAAAGAUGUGUAGACUUUCUUUCAUCUGCUGAACUCAAAUGAAGAUUUUUAGAAGAAUUUCUCAGCUCUUUUGGUCCAUCCAUACAAUAAGUGUGGCUUCUCCAUGACAAUGUGUUUUAUUUGUUUUGGAGUGGCCAUGUUGAUUGCAGCACUGCUGAGACAUUCUGUUCUGAGAGGAAUGCCAGCAUGGCCAUUUUAACAGAGCAUAACAUGGUGUGGUUGCAGUCCAAGGCCAAUGGAAAACAAUUUUUGGUCUCAAGAGCCUCUUUAGAGGAAUCUGGAGACACUGAUUCAACACAUUUGGAUGAAGAUGUGGAUGAUUAUGUGGGGUGCGGCAUCAUGACCUCUGAUGUUGAUACGGAUCAAGGAGAAGGAUUUGUGUGUGAGAGGGUAGUGAAUACCAUCAAUAGAUCUCAUACGUUUUUUUAAUGCUGUAACAGUACUAUUGACAAUACCCUAACAAUUAUAAUUAAGGGAUUUCACAAGGGUUUGUUGCAAUUUGGCUCUGCUUCAUAUUUUCUACAGGUCAAUAAUGUUUCUUAAAAAUGCCACCUAGAACAAUAACAUCUUUUUUUGUUUGUUGUUUUUAAAUUCACAAUGAAGAUGAAGUUCCACUGAGGGCUCUGCACUGAUCAUAAGCAGCUUAUAUGGUCAAAUUACUCAUAAACCUGUCAAUAUUUUGAUUUGUGUCUUUCUAUUGUUUGUUUUAAAUAUAGCAAAAAUGAACAAAAUGACUGAAAAUACUUUCUGAUAUUAAAAGUUUGUUUUGUUUUGUAUUUUGUUUUUCAAGUUGCCUAUGUCACCAUACCAGAUUCAAUAGCCUACAAAUUAAAGGGAUAAUUCACCCAAAAAUGAAUAUUCUCUCG